UUGAAGAGUUUGAUCAUGGCUCAGAUUGAACGCUGGCGGCAGGCCUAACACAUGCAAGUCGAGCGGUAGCACAGAGAGCUUGCUCUCGGGUGACGAGCGGCGGACGGGUGAGUAAUGUCUGGGAAACUGCCUGAUGGAGGGGGAUAACUACUGGAAACGGUAGCUAAUACCGCAUAACGUCGCAAGACCAAAGUGGGGGACCUUCGGGCCUCAUGCCAUCAGAUGUGCCCAGAUGGGAUUAGCUAGUAGGUGGGGUAACGGCUCACCUAGGCGACGAUCCCUAGCUGGUCUGAGAGGAUGACCAGCCACACUGGAACUGAGACACGGUCCAGACUCCUACGGGAGGCAGCAGUGGGGAAUAUUGCACAAUGGGCGCAAGCCUGAUGCAGCCAUGCCGCGUGUGUGAAGAAGGCCUUCGGGUUGUAAAGCACUUUCAGCGGGGAGGAAGGCGAUAAGGUUAAUAACCUUGUCGAUUGACGUUACCCGCAGAAGAAGCACCGGCUAACUCCGUGCCAGCAGCCGCGGUAAUACGGAGGGUGCAAGCGUUAAUCGGAAUUACUGGGCGUAAAGCGCACGCAGGCGGUCUGUCAAGUCGGAUGUGAAAUCCCCGGGCUUAACCUGGGAACUGCAUUCGAAACUGGCAGGCUAGAGUCUUGUAGAGGGGGGGUAGAAUUCCAGGUGUAGCGGUGAAAUGCGUAGAGAUCUGGAGGAAUACCGGUGGCGAAGGCGGCCCCCUGGACAAAGACUGACGCUCAGGUGCGAAAGCGUGGGGAGCAAACAGGAUUAGAUACCCUGGUAGUCCACGCCGUAAACGAUGUCGAUUUGGAGGUUGUGCCCUUGAGGCGUGGCUUCCGGAGCUAACGCGUUAAAUCGACCGCCUGGGGAGUACGGCCGCAAGGUUAAAACUCAAAUGAAUUGACGGGGGCCCGCACAAGCGGUGGAGCAUGUGGUUUAAUUCGAUGCAACGCGAAGAACCUUACCUGGUCUUGACAUCCACAGAACUUUCCAGAGAUGGAUUGGUGCCUUCGGGAACUGUGAGACAGGUGCUGCAUGGCUGUCGUCAGCUCGUGUUGUGAAAUGUUGGGUUAAGUCCCGCAACGAGCGCAACCCUUAUCCUUUGUUGCCAGCGGUUAGGCCGGGAACUCAAAGGAGACUGCCAGUGAUAAACUGGAGGAAGGUGGGGAUGACGUCAAGUCAUCAUGGCCCUUACGACCAGGGCUACACACGUGCUACAAUGGCAUAUACAAAGAGAAGCGACCUCGCGAGAGCAAGCGGACCUCAUAAAGUAUGUCGUAGUCCGGAUUGGGGAGUCUGCAACUCGACUCCAUGAAGUCGGAAUCGCUAGUAAUCGUAGAUCAGAAUGCUACGGUGAAUACGUUCCCGGGCCUUGUACACACCGCCCGUCACACCAUGGGAGUGGGUUGCAAAAGAAGUAGGUAGCUUAACCUUCGGGAGGGCGCUUACCACUUUGUGAUUCAUGACUGGGGUGAAGUCGUAACAAGGUAACCGUAGGGGAACCUGCGGUUGGAUCACCUCCUU
rnacentral:rRNA from 1 species